AUUACACAGGAUUGAACCAACUGAUAAGGAUGAUUAUAAUUUUUAUGAUUUUUCAUUUGAAGUAUUGCUGAAUUUUUAAUGUUUUGUUUUUUUCAGAUUUAAGGAAAACUUUUUCUCUUUUCUCCUGAGCUAGCUAUGACUUAUAGCAAUUUGCCUUACAAACUGAAGCUGAUGGACUUGAUAUAAACUUAAGAGAUGACCUGACGACACCAUCAGAGACAUUUAAACUGCAAAAGAUGCUUUGACGCUGACAUAUAAAACCUUAACUGGCUGUCCUCUAACUCAGAAACUGCUUUACAACUUGCUCCAACCAUUAACCUUGUUUUUCUUUUGUUUACAUAGAAAUGCUUCUAUUAAAUACUUGAUUGCUUGCUUCCAUAAUAUAGGCGUAACCUUGAGAGCCCACCUGCAUCACCACCUUCCAAAAGGAACUUAAUUGAACUGAUCUAUCAUCAGGACUAUGAAAUGUGUUCAGUGAGAUGAAACAAUCUACCAACUCA